rnacentral:rRNA from 1 species
GAUGAACGCUGGCGGCGUGCCUUAUACAUGCAAGUCGAGUGGGUUUAGACCCACGGCCAACGGGUGAGUAACCCGUAGGUCCUUUCCUUGUCACAGGAAUAACCCUCCGAAAGGAGGGCUAAUACCUGAUGUGAUCGCAAGAUUAAAGGGUAUCCGCAAGGAUUACCGGACAAGAAGAGGCCUGCGGCCUAUCAGCUAGUUGGCGGGGUAAAUGCCCACCAAGGCUAUGACGGGUAGCUGGUCUUAUGAGGAUGAUCAGUCACAUGGGCACUGAGACACGGGCCCAACUCCUACGGGAGGCAGCAGUAGGGAAUUUUGCGCAAUGGGCGAAAGCCUGACGCAGCGACGCCGCGUGAGGGAUGAAGGCCUUCGGGUAGUAAACCGCUUUUAUAAGGGACGAACUUUGACGGUACCUUAUGAAUAAGAGGUUGCUAACUCUGUG